UUCCUUGCAAAAACCCUCGGCUCACCGGAGGGCCAGUGGAAAUUUAUUUAUUUUUUGUCCUUUCUGUCUUUCCCCAAGUGGCUUUUCCUUGCAAAAUGCCUGACAUGACACCAGAGGGGAACCUGGGAGUGGGGGGCACCCCAGGGACUUAAAUACAAGCUGGAGGGCAGGGCACAGAUGGGACAGGUGAGAGACAGCACAAGGGACAUGGCUUCUCAGGUAGAGACCAAAGGUUUGUUUUUCUGCAGGAAGAAGCUGUGCCAGAGGGCAGGGGGCUAGGAUCCCGGUGGGGGGGGGGGGCGGGAAUGGGGAGGCCCUCAACCCUGGGUUUGCACCCACAUUCCCCAGAGGAGAAGCAGCACCAGGGUAUGAGGACCUGCCCUCAUAGGUUUCCAAGAACAGAAGGGGGAGAAUAAGCCAGAUGUGCUGCCUCAGGGACAGGGAGGUGCUGGCAGAGUGAGGGUUAAGGCUGGCGCCCGGCCUCUGGCACGGUGGGCCUUCCGCCUCUGCCUGCCUUGGGGACAAAGGGGCACGGUGGGCAGGCAGCACAUGGGCCUGGCUCUGGCAGGGCAGGGGGUGGCAGGAGCAGGCUCCCUCUGGGCUCAAGACACAGGCCC
rnacentral:lncRNA from 1 species